rfam:Yersinia enterocolitica subsp. enterocolitica 8081 complete genome
GGUAUUCCUUAUUUGUUUCUAAUGGUUUAUUUGGAGCCUACCUUCCUGUGCUUUAACCCCAGGCUAAAGCACGUGCCCUGGUGAAAACACCGGAAGAUAGGCCCAUCAGUUUAGUUGCCGCGUUUCGUGCUCAA